rnacentral:rRNA from 1 species
AUACGGAGGAUGCGAGCGUUAUCCGGAUUUAUUGGGUUUAAAGGGUGCGUAGGUGGGAUAUUAAGUCAGCUGUGAAAGUUUGGGGCUCAACCUUAAAAUUGCAGUUGAUACUGGUUUCCUUGAGUACGGUACAGGUGGGCGGAAUUCGUGGUGUAGCGGUGAAAUGCUUAGAUAUCACGAAGAACUCCGAUCGCGAAGGCAGCUCACCGGGCCGGAACUGACACUGAUGCUCGAAAGUGCGGGUAUCAAACAGGAUUAGAUACCCUGGUAGUCCGCACAGUAAACGAUGAAUACUCGCUGUUUGCGAUACACUGUAAGCGGCCAAGCGAAAGCGUUAAGUAUUCCACCUGGGGAGUACGCCGGCAACGGUGAAACUCAAAUGAAUUGGCGGGG